UGGGGAAUAUUGGACAAUGGGCGCAAGCCUGAUCCAGCCAUGCCGCGUGUGUGAAGAAGGCCUUCGGGUUGUAAAGCACUUUUGUUGGGAAAGAAAAGCACUCGGUUAAUACCCGGGUGUUCUGACGGUACCCAAAGAAUAAGCACCGGCUAACUUCGUGCCAGCAGCCGCGGUAAUACGAAGGGUGCAAGCGUUACUCGGAAUUACUGGGCGUAAAGCGUGCGUAGGGGGUUUGUUAAGUCAGAUGUG
rnacentral:rRNA from 1 species